CUCUAAAUACACACAAGACUGAGAGAUAAGGAGUAGAAAAAUGCCUGUUUUGCAAAGAAGAAGGAAAAGUUUCAAGGAUUGUAUAAUUUUAAUGCAGAGAUACAUUUUGGAAAAAAAAAUCUAUCGUGGUAACACAUGGCUACUUUAAACCAUAUGACGUGUUUUCUCUGAGACCUUAUUUGCAUAUUUAAUGGUACAUGAAUGUUAAAAUACACAUUAAACAGGCAUUGUAUGUGUAUCAUACUGUAGGUAUAUAUGACCAGUACUACUUUCUGAUCCUAGAAUAUAUAAUUGUAUUUAAAUAAAAAAACAUAAAGUAUUUGCUUUCCAUAAUCCAACCUGUUUGCCAUUAAUAAGAUUCUGAGGCAUUACACCUCUAUCUUUUGAGGAGAUCAGAUCAUAUCUGUUAAAUGCCAGGUGAUACAAUUAUGAAGUAACGGUUUAUUCUUACUCGUAGCUACUUGGACUCUCAGGAUAGAUACUAAUUUUUUGUUGUUACUUACUUUCCACAAAGAAAGGGCAAACUACAUAUAACCAUAAUACCUUCCUCCCCCUUCUCCACCUCUCAGUGCAUCUGGUUAAACUUUGGACAAGGUGGAGGAAGGGGAAUGGAAAGGCACAGAACAAGCGGUCAGUUUUCUCACAGUAGCAUAAUGCUGCUGUUUCUUUUACCAGGUUAAAGAUGCCUAAAGAGUAAAUGAGUUUCUUCUUCGUUCAGUGAUUACCCUGUAAAUACUACACAGGAUUAAAUUGCGUCCAGUCACCUGUACAACUAAAAUUAGCUUUUGAAAGGCCAAGAGCUGCUGCAGAGAUAACAAGGACUGAAGAAUUUACAGCAGCUGGUACCAACUGUGCAAGUACAACUCCCAGCCAAAAUAAUGUGACACCCAGCUGCGUGGAAGCCUGGGGAAUCAGCAAGUGACUCAGGAGGAAGUGAGAAUGGAGAAUCUGGCUGCAGCACCAAGCCCACUCCAGAAGUGUGUUAUUAUUCCCUCUCAUUCAGUGGGAUAGCCCCCCAGGGAAUGCCAUGUUAAAAUUAAAAAAGACUUCUGAUAUAAAAAUCUUUUUUCACCUGAGACAAAAUUUGUUUGUCCUCAUGUAUGCUGGUGCCAUCAUUAUUAAUUUUUGGUUACAGAUCAGUAUUUGCUUCUCUUAAGUAAAUAAUAUUCUGUUCCAAUAGAGAUUGCUGAGCCAAAAUAAAAUUCAUAUGAAUGUAAA